rnacentral:rRNA from 1 species
UACACAUGCAAGUCGAGCGGAGCGCGGGGCAACUGGCGGCGAGCGGCGAACGGGUGAGUAACAUAUCGGAACGUGUCCUUUAGUGGGGGAUAACGCAGCGAAAGCUGUGCUAAUACCGCAUACGAUCGGGAGAUGAAAGCGGGGGAUCGCAAGACCUCGCGCUAAAGGAGUGGCCGAUAUCAGAUUAGCUAGUUGGUGAGGUAAAGGCUCACCAAGGCGACGAUCUGUAGCUGGUCUGAGAGGAUGAUCAGCCACACUGGAACUGAGACACGGUCCAGACUCCUACGGGAGGCAGCAGUGGGGAAUUUUGGACAAUGGGGGCAACCCUGAUCCAGCCAUUCCGCGUGAGUGAAGAAGGCCUUCGGGUUGUAAAGCUCUUUUGUCGGGGACGAAACGGUUACGAUUAAUACUCGUGACAACUGACGGUACCCGAAGAAUAAGCACCGGCUAACUACGUGCCAGCAGCCGCGGUAAUACGUAGGGUGCGAGCGUUAAUCGGAAUUACUGGGCGUAAAGCGUGCGCAGGCGGUUUUGUAAGCCAGAUGUGAAGUCCCCGGGCUUAACCUGGGAAUGGCAUUUGGAACUGCAAGGCUAGAGUAUGGCAGAGGAGACUAGAAUUUCUGGUGUAGCAGUGAAAUG